rnacentral:rRNA from 1 species
AGUAUGUGGUUUAAUUCGACGCAACGCGCAGAACCUUUACCUAGACUUGACAUCCGGGAUUUUCUGGAAACAGAGAAGUGCUUUAGCAAUAAAGAACCCGGUGACAGGUGCUGCAUGGCUGUCGUCAGCUCGUGUCGUGAGAUGUUGGGUUAAGUCCCGCAACGAGCGCAACCCUCGCCUUUAGUUGCCAGCAUUCAGUUGGGCACUCUAGCGAGACUGCCGGUAAUAAACCGGAGGAAGGUGGGGAUGACGUCAAAUUAUCAUGCCCCUUAUGACCUGGGCUACACACGUGCUACAAUGGUUGGUACAACGAGUUGCGAGUCGGUGACGGCGAGCUAAUCUCUUAAAGCCAAUCUCAGUUCGGAUUGUAGGCUGCAACUCGCCUACAUGAAGUCGGAAUCGCUAGUAAUCGCGGAUCAGCACGCCGCGGUGAAUACGUUCCCGGGCCUU